rnacentral:rRNA from 1 species
CCUACGGGAGGCAGCAGUGGGGAAUAUUGCACAAUGGGGGAAACCCUGAUGCAGCGACGCCGCGUGAGCGAGGAAGUAUUUCGGUAUGUAAAGCUCUAUCAGCAGGGACGAAAAAAGACGGUACCUGACUAAGAAGCCCCGGCUAACUACGUGCCAGCAGCCGCGGUAAUACGUAGGGGGCAAGCGUUAUCCGGAUUUACUGGGUGUAAAGGGAGCGUAGACGGCAAGGCAAGCCAGAAGUGAAAGGGCAGGGCUCAACCCUGUACAUGCUUUUGGAACUGUGGUGCUAGAGUGCAGGAGAGGUAAGUGGAAUUCCUAGUGUAGCGGUGAAAUGCGUAGAUAUUAGGAGGAACACCAGUGGCGAAGGCAGCAUACCGGCGCCCGACUGACGCUGAAGCACGAAAGCGUGGGUAUCGAACAGGAUUAGAUACCCCUGUAGUC